AUGAUGACGCCAUGUUAACAUUUUUAACAUGGAUUUUCAAUGCAUUUUAUUAAGCAACAAUAACUAAUAAACUAUAAGCCUAUCAGCGACUCGCGAGUGCCGACCAUAGAGUAAGAAUAUGUGCCGACUGAUGAGAACUGACUGGCGACUGCCGAUUGCCGAUUUUAGAGUUUCACAAAGUUCAUAGUUCAUUCUUCAUCCAUAAAUACAAUAUGUUUAUAUUUACCAUUUACUAAACGGUUCUGAAGUCGUUAUUCAUUUAUGCCUUACGUCAGUGUUUUGAUUUGCUUAUUCAACAUAUUAAGCUAAAUAUUUGGGCUAUUUAGUAUAAUAAUUAUAUUUUCUAAUCGUGAAUUUACAAUUCUUACUUUUGAUCCGCCGACCUGUGAAUGGUCUCCAGUAUGGGUUACAGCCGAAAUCCAAUAUCGUCAUCUAGAGAUCGUAGACGUGGACGGGAUAGACGAAGUAGAAGUCCGGUACGGCGACGCGGUGGUGGUGGUCGAGGAGGUAGAGGUGAUCCAGGCUCUAACUUACGUAAACCUCGAUGGGAAACAAAAAAGCUCGAACCAUUCAAAAAAGAUUUCUAUCUGCCGCACGAAGCUGUCCAGAAUAGAUCAAAAUCAGAAAUAGAAAAAUACAGAGAAGAGAAAGAAAUAACACUAGUUGGCGAAAAUAUUCCAAAACCAAUAUUUAAGUUUGAUGAAAGUGGCUUUCCUGAAAUCAUAAUCAAAGAAUUAAAGAAACAAGGUUUUGUUGAGCCUACUGCUAUUCAAGCACAAGGAUGGCCAAUAGCUUUGUCUGGUAAUAAUUUAGUUGGUAUUGCGUCCACUGGUUCUGGAAAAACAUUAUCGUAUAUUGUUCCUGCUUUAAUACAUAUUUCACAUCAACGAAAAUUAUCACGUGGUGAUGGACCUAUUGUAUUAGUAUUGUCUCCAACUCGAGAAUUAGCCCAACAAAUACAAACUGUUUGUGACGAUUUUGGUGAUGCAUUUGGAGUUAGUAGUACAUGCUUAUUUGGCGGUGCACCAAAAGGUGGUCAGGCAUCUGACUUGAGUCGUGGAGUUGAAUUAGUAAUUGCUACACCAGGCCGUUUAUUAGAUUUUCUUGAAAGUGAACGUACAAAUAUGUGUCGAUGCACAUACCUAGUUUUAGAUGAAGCUGAUAGAAUGUUGGAUAUGGGGUUUGAACCACAAAUUCGAAAAAUCAUUGAUCAAAUAAGACCAGAUAGACAAGUAUUAAUGUGGUCAGCAACAUGGCCCAAAGAAGUAAAAAAUUUGGCUGAAGAAUUUUUAGAUGAAUAUAUACAAAUAAAUAUUGGUUCCUUAACAUUAGCAGCUAACCAUAAUAUCCAACAAAUUGUUGAAGUCUGUCAGGAAUAUGACAAAGAAACAAAGUUAAUAUCGCUUUUAAAGAAAAUAAUGGAUGAAGAUGAAAAUAAAACUAUUGUUUUCAUUGAAACUAAGCGACGGGUGGAUGAAAUUACAAGAAAGAUUAAAAGACAUGGGUAUUCAGCUGUAUGUAUUCAUGGUGAUAAAUCACAAUAUGAGAGAGACAAUGUUUUGAAAGAUUUCAGAGAUAGUCGUUACCCUAUAUUGGUCGCUACAGAUGUUGCCGCUCGUGGUCUUGAGGCACACACAAGCUGUACAAUGCGUACUAAAUUUAAAAAAUACUAUAAAAAUGUAUCAAUGUUGUCGCAUUGUCGACGCUGUGCCUCAAAAAUGGACAUGCAUUAAUAAUUGCGUGUGGGUCUGUGUGUUCGUGGCGGCUCUGGCUACACAAGUAGUUUGAGUGGUCGCGCACCGGCGGCAACGUGGGGCUAGUCAUUCCACACUGCUGUCCCCCGCCUCGACCUGUCUGUGUAUGUUGUGACGUGUCCAACGUCAAUCGUUGUCCCGUGUGGGGCGCUUAAACACGUACACCGGAUGUCGAUGAUGUGGAAGAUGUGAAGUUUGUAAUCAAUUUUGACUACCCAAAUAAUUCUGAAGACUAUGUACAUCGUAUUGGUCGUACCGGUCGAUCUCACAAGACGGGUACAGCUUACACAUUCUUUACACAGUCAAAUGCCAAACAAGC
rnacentral:misc_RNA from 1 species